GUGCCAGCCGCCGCGGUAAGACAGAGGGUGCAAACGUUGUUCGGAAUCACUGGGCGUAAAGCGCGUGUAGGCGGCUGCGCAGGUCGGGCGUGAAAUCCCGUGGCUCAACCACGGAAGUGCACCCGAAACCGCGUAGCUGGAGUCUCGGAGAGGAAGGUGGAAUGCUUGGUGUAGAGGUGAAAUUCGUAGAUAUCAAGCGGAACACCAGUGGCGAAGGCGACCUUCUGGACGAUGACUGACGCUGAGACGCGAAAGCGUGGGGAGCAAACAGGAUUAGAAACCCCCGUAGUCC
rnacentral:rRNA from 1 species